rnacentral:rRNA from 1 species
GACGAACGCUGGCGGCGUGCUUAACACAUGCAAGUCGAACGGAAAGGCCCUGCUUUUGUGGGGUGCUCGAGUGCCGAACGGGGGAGUAACACGUGAGUAACCUGCCCUUGACUUUGGGAUAACUUCAGGAAACUCGGGCUAAUACCAGAUAGGAGCUCCUGCUGCAUGGUGGGGGAUGGAAAGUUUCGGCGGUUGGGGAUGGACUCGCGGCUUAUUAGCUUGUUGGUGGGGUAGUUGCUUACCAAGGCUUUGACGGGUAGCCGGCCUGAGAGGGUGACCGGCCACAUUGGGACUGAGAUACGGACCAGACUCCUACGGGAGGCAGCAGUGGGGAAUAUUGCACAAUGGGCGGGAGCCUGAUGCAGCAACGCCGCGUGCGGGAUGACGGCCUUCGGGUUGUAAACCGCUUUCGCCUGUGACGAAGCGUGAGUGACGGUAAUGGGUAAAGAAGCACCGGCUAACUACGUG